UGGUGGAGCGAUUUGUCCGGUCAAUUCCGAUAACGAACGAGACUCUAGCCUACUAAAUAGUUCGGGGACCCCCACAAAGGGGCCCCGCUUCAACUUCUUAGAGGGACAGGUGGCGUUUAGCCACACGAGAUUGAGCAAUAACG
rnacentral:rRNA from 1 species